UAUUUAUUAGAUAAAAAACCAAUGCCCUUCGGGGCUCCUUGGUGAAUCAUAAUAACUUAACGAAUCGCAUGGCCUUGCGCCGGCGAUGGUUCAUUCAAAUUUCUGCCCUAUCAACUUUCGAUGGUAGGAUAGUGGCCUACCAUGGUAUCAACGGGUAACGGGGGAUUAGGGUUCGACUCCGGAGAGGGAGCCUGAGAAACGGCUACCACAUCCAAGGAAGGCAGCAGGCGCGCAAAUUACCCAAUCCCGACACGGGGAGGUAGUGACAAUAAAUACUGAUACAGGGCUCUUUUGGGUCUUGUAAUUGGAAUGAGUACAAUUUAAAUCCCUUAACGAGGAACAAUUGGAGGGCAAGUCUGGUGCCAGCAGCCGCGGUAAUUCCAGCUCCAAUAGCGUAUAUUAAAGUUGUUGCAGUUAAAAAGCUCGUAGUUGAACCUUGGGCCUGGCUGGCCGGUCCGCCUCACCGCGUGUACUGGUCCGGCCGGGCCUUUCCUUCUGGGGAACCUCAUGCCCUUCACUGGGCGUGUUGGGGAACCAGGACUUUUACUUUGAAAAAAUUAGAGUGUUCAAAGCAGG
rnacentral:rRNA from 1 species